CAACUUACCUGGCGUAGGGAUACCGUGACCAUGCAGACGGUUCCCCGAGGGUGAGGCUGCUCUAUUGUACUACGAAGGGGUUGAUUCUUGCGAUUAUUUUUAUUUUUUUAUAAGUUUCACUUCUACCGUGUGUGACUUGCACACACACACA
rnacentral:snRNA from 9 species